rnacentral:rRNA from 1 species
CCUACGGGAGGCAGCAGUGAGGAAUAUUGGUCAAUGGGCGGGAGCCUGAACCAGCCAAGCCGCGUGAGGGAAGAAGGUACAGCGUAUCGUAAACCUCUUUUGUCAGGGAACAAAGGCGGGGACUAGUCCCCGGAUGAGGGUACCUGAAGAAAAAGCAUCGGCUAACUCCGUGCCAGCAGCCGCGGUAAUACGGAGGAUGCGAGCGUUAUCCGGAUUUAUUGGGUUUAAGGGGUGCGCAGGCGGCCUGUUAAGUCAGCGGUAAAAGCCCGGGGCUCAACCCCGGCGAGCCGUUGAAACUGGCGGGCUGGAGUUGGAGAGAAGUACGCGGAAUGCGCGGUGUAGCGGUGAAAUGCUUAGAUAUCGCGCAGAACCCCGAUUGCGAAGGCAGCGUACCAAGCUACUUCUGACGUUGAGGCACGAAAGCGUGGGGAGCAAACAGGAUUAGAUACCCUAGUAGUC